UGCUGCCGCUCGCCUAGCUCUAGCUUGCCGCGCAGGCUCGGGCGGGGCGUGGGUCAGAUCCUGGCGGAGCUGAGCUCGGAGCGGGGAGGGUGGGGAGGAGUGGAGCGAAGGCGGGGUGUGCACUUGGAAGACGACCGAAUGUCCCCGCUUCGCUGUUAGCGCAUGUGGUCCUUAGGCGGGUGUGCGCCGUGGUAUUUUGCGGCGGGAACCGAGAAUACCUUUCCAGUGCCUGGAGUUUGAGCGGUGCAGCAGAAACUGCUCCGCGUUGGUCCCGCGCGCCUUUCUCCCGGGCCCACGUGCGCGGACCCAAGGGCGGUCCUCUGACUUGGAGCAAGGUCACAGUCACCGCUGCUGCUGUGACCUCGCGGGGAAGUUGACCAUGGGUCCCCCGCAGUCAGGACAGUCGGCCCACACCUUCCCUUAGGUUCGCAGUGUGAAGCGGGUACUGGGAACCGGGUCGCGGGAGCCGUCCCACGUCCGGCUCAGCGGAGCGUCGGCGCGUGUCCCCGAGCUCACGUUCUGGCCGAAGCGCAAUUGCGUGGUCAGUCACCAGGUGCUCCACGUAGGCAAAGCCCGUGUUAAACUGAAUCGACUCCUCUAAUGAGAUUCUUGAAGUCUAGGCCCUCAGAUUGCUGCUGCAUGUGAAAUCAGAAUGGAUUAGUUGUGAUAACACUAUUUUUACCCAGGAGCCAAAGGUGUAACUGGAACCCAAUAUAAAUUGGGUUCAGUAUAAAUUGGUGGCCUCAAUAUAAGUUAUCCAAAACCAAGAAUGAGAUUUCUGUGGUUUCCAAAUUCUUUCUGACCUUGAAAGAUGUAGCUUGCGAUACUGGUGUUAGGAUCAUUUAUUUUCACAGUAACUGUGUAGAAAUGGGUAAAAUUGAAGAUUUCACAUAGUUUAUGACAUUGAUUUUAAAAAGAGAAACGUGUCUGUAAACAUGGAGCUUGUUUGUUCUCGACUUGGCCCUGAUUUGUAUUCGUGAUCAUUUUCACGGAUGAAUUUUUUAAAUAUUAGCUUUACUGAAAUAGUCACGUACCAUUCAGCUAUUUAAAGUGUAUGAUCUAAUGGUUUUUAAUAUAUUCAAAGUUGUGCAACCAUCAUUAUGUUAUCCCCAGAAAGAAAACCCAUCCCCACUUGCAGUUAUUCUCUUUCCUCUCUCCCAGCCCUAGGCAAUCACUAAUUUAUGUUGUUUCUAUGGAUUUACCUUUUCUGGAAUUUCAUAUAAAAGGAGUCAUUCAGUAUGUGGUCUUUUUGACUAGCAUAAAGUUUCCAUGUUGUAAGGUAUAUCAAUACUUAAUUCCUUUUUAUUGUUGAAUAAUGUUUCUUUGUAUGGUUAUUCCAUAUUUUGUUUAUCAUUUCAUCAGUUGAUGGACAUUUAGGUUGGUGUUUCUUCUUAGCUAUUAUGAAUAAUGCUGCUGUGAACAUGUGUUUAAUAAGAGCUUUUUUAUGUGCAUGUUUUCAGUUCUUUGAGGUAUAGACCUUGGAGUGGAAAUAUUAGGACAUUUGUCAACUGUAUCUGUAAUUGUUUGAGAAGGGUUAAGGAUGGGGCUUAGUGGUGGAGUAGCUUGUGUAGCAUACUGGAGGCCCUGGGUUUGAUAUCCAGCACUGCAAAGGGGGACUGCCUAACUUUCCCAAAUUGAUGGCACCAUUUUUCGUUCUCACCAGCAGUGUCUGAGGGUUCCACUUUUCCAUGUAUUUCUUAGUAGGUCUUUUUUAUUACAGCCUACCUAGUGGGCAUGAAGUGGUAUCUCAUGGUUUUGAUUUACCUUUCCCAAGUGAUAAAUGAUGUUGAAUAGUUUUAUAUGCUUAUUGGAUAUUCUUCUGUCUUCUUUGGAGAAGUAUCUAUUUUAAGCUAUUGCCCAUAAAACAAAAUUUUAUUGAAGUACAGGAAUUCUUUAUUUUAGAUACACGUUCCUGUCAGAUGCAUGACUUGCAAAUCUUUUUUCCUUCUGUGAGUUGCUUUUUUCACUUUCUUAGUGAUAUUCCUUGCAGUGCAAAAGUUUUUGACUUUAACAAAGUUAAUUUUAAAUUUAAUACUAACUUUAAAAAUAACGUUUUUCCUUUUGUUGCUUUUUUGGUGUCAUAUCUAAAUCACCAUUGAUGAAUUUGACACUACUAUAAUAUCAUAAAAACAGAAUGGAGCAGAUGUUGAGAGAAAGCAUGAAACUUCUAGCCUCAGCCACUGUGGAACAGAACUGGAGUGCUUGGGCACAAGUGGAACAAAUCUUACAACACCAUGUGCAUGAAACUGUGCCAGGUCGUAGUGGGGUGAGCCAGGAAACAGUGGCAAUGUGCCCUCUUCAGUUUUCUGUGCAACUUGGAAUGGCUGUGAAAUAGGAAGGAUAAUCAACAAUUUUUUUUUUCCUGACGAUUGAGCCCAGGACCUCGUACAUAACUAAGCACACACUCUAUCACUGAACUACACCCCCAGAAAUUUUCUGAAAACCAUGACCGUAAUGAAAUUCAGAGAGAACUCAAUUAAUAUUUAGUUUUACCAACUAUAGAAAAGAGUGCAUUUCAUUCUGUAAGAAAUAGCUUAUUUAGAGGUGAACAGCUUCCAAUAUACUGGGAUUUGUGGAACAAAAAUCGUGGUACCUGGACUAAAAAUAUCCGCUUAAUUUCCCCUCUGGAGUUCUAAAUUAUACCAUUAGAUACAUUGUAUGAAAUUUUCUUCCAUGAAAUGCAGGUACUACAGCAAAGUAUUAGAGCUUUAAUAAAAUAACACCUUCUAAAGAUUGGGUGCCAGCCUGAAACAGUCCAGGUGUCCCAGGCUCCUGCACUGAGGACAAGCUCAGAAAUGAUGACCACAGCUUGUGCUUUGGUAGCCUAAACAGAGGCGCAAGUCUCAGCAGCUGGUCUUCACCCUCCUGAGAAGAGCCAGCCUCUCACGUUUAGGACGUGUGCUGUGCGCACAUGUUCUCUCCUAAAAUACCUACGUUUCACAGCAUCCCACUCCCUUUCCUAUGUGGAUUAUUCAUGAGUUCUCAAAUAUGUUCUCCCUUCAUUAGUGCCUUGAAGUUUAUCAGGCAUGGCCACAUUUAUGACUUAACCAUUUAAUAAGCUCAGUAAAUAUCCACACAGAAUGAAUGUACGCCUGGACCCUACAGACAAGAGACCUAUAGAUUCUCUAUGGUGUGAUCCUAAAGGCAGCAGCACGAGGGACCUUGUCUCCAGUUUUCAGAUUGACAGAUUCACCAUCUAAGGCUGGCCUGGAUCUCCGGAGCUCAGAAGAUCUCACCUCAGUUCCACAAAGGCUGGGACUACAGGCGUGUGCCACCACUCCUGGGUCUUGAUGGUUGACUGUUCACUGAGGAUUGAAAGAAACUUGUAGGCUUGAAAAAUGAGAUUUGGCCAAGUCCGAGCUGGGUCUCAGUCUGUGUCUGAGUCUGGAACAGGACUGAGAAGUGGAAGAAUCUGCUGGACAGCAAGACAUCAGCCUAACAGUGGAAGAGAACAUUUAGAAAGAGGAAACCAUGGAGAAACAGAGAAUGAAGCUUUGGUUUAGGACUGGAGGAGGCCCUCGUCACUGACCUAACUGACUCCAUUCUCUUCCUCUCUGACUCCGUUUGCUUCUUGUAACUUUUUCCUUCUGCAGUGGCCUUGGCUUCCAGGAACAACAGGCCCUAUUGAUAAGCAUCUUUAUGACAAGGGCUGAAACUACCUCCAAGCAAUAUGGGCCCUCAAGCUUCCCAGAACAGAUCACCCCAUGAUGAGAUUGCUCCCCACCCCACAUGUGCGGAGCAAUCCCCUCCUCUAGCCAUUGUGACCUUCCAGAGCUUCACAGAACUAGUACUGAGAUAAUGAUCAAUCAGACUGCUGCCUGACCAGGAUGACAUAUCCUGCCAGCUGCACAAGCAUCCCGGCCACACAAGCCCCCAACCCCUGCCUUUGCUUCCCUUUUCUGUGAAACCUCAGAGUUUCUGUCAGUCCCUUGAAGACAGUACCCUACAUUGGUUCUUACCAGAGCAGCCAGAUUGGUUAAAGUUCCUUUCCUGACCUUCACCAUGGCUCCUCACCAUGGCUUGGAUGGGCAUAUUGAGACUGGUGGCUGAGCCUGGUGAUGGAACCACUGGGGCUGGGGUCUUCACGCAAGGUCUCUGGUAAUGAAACAGAGCCCCUUAACAUUAAAAGCAAUUUCCUGGUAACUGCUUUUCUGCAUCCUGAACUUCCUCAUGCUGAGAAUGGAAACUAAGAAAACCACCCCCUGGCCUGGCUGGGGCAGGCACCAAGGAAGCCGAACUGUGGCAAGCUCUCUGGCCAGCAGGCCUAGCUGUCUAUUUGUGUUCCACAUGUGUGUUCCCUGGCUUUUGUUUCUGUGAAUUAUAACCACUUCUACGGAGCUUGCGGAGAGGAAAUCUGGCUGCU